rnacentral:rRNA from 1 species
CCUACGGGUGGCAGCAGUGAGGAAUAUUUGUCAAUGGACGCAAGUCUGAACCAGCCAUGCCGCGUGCAGGAAGACGGCUCUAUGAGUUGUAAACUGCUUUUGUACGAGGGUAAACGCAGAUACGCGUACCUGUCUGAAAGUAGCGUACGAAUAAGGAUCGGCCAACUCCGUGCCAGCAGCCGCGGUAAUACGGAGGAUUCAUGCGUUGUCCGGAUUUAUUGGGUUUAAAGGUUGCGUAGGCGGUCGGAUAAGUUCGAGGUGAAAUCCCGAGGCUCAACUUGGGAAUUGCCUCUGAUACUGUGAGGCUAGAGAAUAGUUGCGGGAGGCGGAAUGUGUGGUGUAGCAGUGAAAUGCUUAGAGAUC